GCUGGGCAUGGUGACACAUGUUUAUAGUCCCAGCUACUCCAGAGGCUAAAGCAAGAGGAUGACUUGGGUUCACGGAGUUCUGGGCUGUAGUGCUUUAUGCUGACCAGGUGUCUGCACUAAGUUUGGCAUCAACAUAGUGAACUCCCAGGAGCUGGGAUCACCAGGUUGCCUAAGGAGGGGUGAAUCAGCCCAGGUCAGAAACUGAGCAGGGCAAAUUCCUGAUCGAGGCUGUGAACAGCCACUGUACUCCAGGCUGGGCAACAUAGUCGCUCGCCCCCGCUUCCU
ensembl:misc_RNA Metazoa_SRP Metazoan signal recognition particle RNA